UUAGAUACCCUAUUAUUUAAAAUGUAAAUGUAAGUACUUGAUUAGUAUUAGUUAUAUUCUUUAAAAUUAAAAAAUUNGGCGGUAUUUUAGUNUUUUCAGAGGAACCUGUCCUAUAAUCGAUUGUCCACGAUUUAAUUUACUUAUUUUAAUUAACUUGUAUAUCGUCGUAGUUGAGUAUUUUAUAAGAAUAUAUUUAGAGUUUUUUAUAAAAAUGAAAGUCAGAUCAAGGUGCAGUUUAUAAAUAAGAAGAGAUGGGUUACAAUAAAUUUAUUUAUACGGAAAUUUUUAAUGUAAGUUUGUUUUGAAGGUGGAUUUGAAAGUAAUAA
rnacentral:rRNA from 1 species